AGAGCCACCUUAGACUCCUCUCCUUUGCCUCUCACUACUUUGGGGCAGAGACCAAAAGCUCAGAGCCUCAAAGGGAGAGGUAACCUACUUAAGGAGGUGUUCUGGCUGGGUUUGUGUGUCAGCUUGCCUGGAGUUAUCACGGAGAAAGGAGAUUCAGUUGAGGAAACGCCUUGAGGAGAUCCAGCUUUAGCAGAUUAACAACAACAACAACAACAGACCCUUGAGGGUCAGGAUGCCCUGUAGUGCCACCGAACAUCCCAACCUUCCUCCUGCCUCCCAGGAGGAUCAAGGAACAGAUAUGGAGGAAGCUGCAAUCUGCGAUGCCUAGAAACUGUGGAGGACUCCCAGCGUGUAUGUCCAUGGGUCAAGAACAAAGUUCU